UUGGACCCUGUUUGCUAGCCCCCGAAGCUGCUUCUCCCUUAGCGGUGAUGCUGCUUUCAGCUCCUGCUUUUCCUCCCUCUCUCAUGCCUCCCUUUCUCUCCGUGGCUCCUCUUCCCCUCACUCUUUACAGGUUGGCAUUCUUCUUGUUUCGUCUCCUCCUCCUUUCCCUGGAUGAUCUUAUUUCCUCCCUGGUCUUUAACCAUCACCUGCAGGCUGACAGCUCCCAAAUCUCUAUCUUCAAUCCAGAUGUCUGUCCCGGGCUCCAGUUUUGUGGUUCCACCUGAGACCUUUCCACCUAUAUGCUUUACAGGUCACAGAAUUUUCCACACUCCUUGACAGAGGUGCUUAACCCUUAUCCAUCAGCAUUCUCAGACAGCACCUCCGGUUAGGGACAGUAUCUGACCGUCCGACAUCCCUGCAGCCCCCAUGUGUCACACAGACUCAGCCUCAGGUAGAUGGUUUCCGUAGAUGGUGGCUUUCUUUGGACCCUUGACAUCAACCAGUUACUAUUUGACUCUUCUGCAGAACCCCAUGUUGACCCCUGCUUUGAGGUGGCAG
rnacentral:lncRNA from 10 species